rnacentral:rRNA from 1 species
GUGCCAGCAGCCGCGGUAAUACGUAGGGACCGAGCGUUGUCCGGAAUCAUUGGGCGUAAAGAGCGUGUAGGCGGCCUGUUAAGUCUUGCGUGAAAUCUCGGGGCUCAACCCCGAGCGGUCGUGAGAAACUGGCGGGCUAGAGUGCGGGAGAGGAGAGUGGAAUUCCUGGUGUAGCGGUGAAAUGCGCAGAUAUCAGGAAGAACACCCGUGGCGAAGGCGGCUCUCUGGAACGCAACUGACGCUGAGACGCGAAAGCGUGGGGAGCAAACAGGAUUAGAUACCCUCGUAGUCC